rnacentral:rRNA from 1 species
AUUGAACGCUGGCGGCAUGCUUUACACAUGCAAGUCGAACGGCAGCGCGGGCUUCGGCCUGGCGGCGAGUGGCGAACGGGUGAGUAAUGCAUCGGAACGUGCCCAGUAGUGGGGGAUAGCCCGGCGAAAGCCGGAUUAAUACCGCAUACGACCUGAGGGUGAAAGCGGGGGACCGAAAGGCCUCGCGCCAUUGGAGCGGCCGAUGUCGGUUUAGCUAGUUGGUGGGGUAAAGGCCUACCAAGGCGACGAUCCGUAGCUGGUCUGAGAGGACGACCAGCCACCCUGGAACGGAGAGACGGCCGAGACUCCUACGGGAGGCAGCAGUGGGGAAUUGUGGACAAGGGGGGCAAGCUUGACCCAGCAAUGCCGCGGGGGUGAAGAAGGCCUUCGGGUUGUAAAGCUGUUUUGUUGGGAAAGAAAACCUGUGGGUUAAUACCCAGGUGGGAUGACGGUACCGAAAGAAAAAGCACCGGCUAACUUCGUG